AUGGAGGGUGUUGAAGAGAAGAAGAAGGUUCCUGCUGUGCCAGAAACCCUUAAGAAAAAGUGAAGGAAUUUCACAGAGCUGAAGAUCAAGCGCCUGAGAAAUAAGUUUGCCCAAAAGAUGCUUCUAAAGGCAAGGAGGAAGCUUAUCUAUGAAAAAGCAAAGCACUAUCACAAGGAAUAUAUGCAGAUGUACAGAACUGAAAUUCAAAUAUCGAGGAUGGCAAGAAAAGCUGGCAACUUCUAUGUAUCUGCAGAACCCAAAUUGGCGUUUGUCAUCAGGAUCGGAGGUUAUCAAUUGGGUGAGCCCAAAGGUCUGAAAGGUGUUGCAACUUCUUUGCCUUCAUCAAAUCUUCAAUAGAAACUUUGUGAAGCUCAGCAGGGCUUCAAUAAUGUGCUGAGGUUUGUAGAACCAUAUAUUGCAUGGGCAUACCCAAAUCUGAAGUCAGUAAAUAAACUAAUCUACAAAUGUGGUUAUAGCAAAAUGAAUAAGAAGCUACUUGCUCCAACAGAUAAUACUUUGAUUGCUCGAUCUCUUGGUAAAUAUGGCCUCAUCUGCAUGGAGGAUCUGAUUCAUGAGAUCUAUACUGUUGGAAAAUGCUUAAAGAAGCAAAUAACUUCCUGUGGCCCUUCAAAUUAUCCUCUCGACAAGUUAGAAUGAAGAAAAAGACCACCAAUUUUGUAGAAGGUGGAGAUGCUGACAACAGGGAAGACCAGAUCAACAGGCUUAUUAGAAGAAUAA
rnacentral:lncRNA from 1 species